UACGUAGGUGGCAAGCGUUGUCCGGAUUUAUUGGGUUUAAAGGGUGCGUAGGCGGUUCCUUAAGUCAGUGGUGAAAUACUUCAGCUCAACUGGAGAGGUGCCAUUGAUACUGGGGAACUUGAGUACUGAUGAGGUAGGCGGAAUGGACGGAGUAGCGGUGAAAUGCUUAGAUAUCGUCCAGAACACCGAUAGCGAAGGCAGCUUACUAAAGAGUAACUGACGCUGAGGCACGAAAGUGUGGGGAUCAAACAGG
rnacentral:rRNA from 1 species